rnacentral:rRNA from 1 species
UCGAGAAUCUUCGGCAAUGGGCGAAAGCCUGACCGAGCGACGCCGCGUGCGGGAUGAAGGCCUUCGGGUUGUAAACCGCUGUCAGUGGGGAGGAAAGUUCCGUGAAGAGCGGGACCUGACCUAUCCGCAGAGGAAGUCCGGGCUAAGUUCGUGCCAGCAGCCGCGGUAAUACGAACCGGACAAACGUUAUUCGGAAUCAUUGGGCUUAAAGGGUGCGCAGGCGGCUGUUCAAGUUGGGUGUGAAAGCCCUCGGCUCAACCGAGGAAUUGCGCCCAAUACUGUUCAGCUAGAGGGAGACAGAGGCGAGCGGAACUGAUGGUGGAGCGGUGAAAUGCGUUGAUAUCAUCAGGAACACCAGUGGCGAAGGCGGCUCGCUGGGUCUCUUCUGACGCUCAUGCACGAAAGCUAGGGUAGCGAACAGGAUUAGAUACCCCCGUAGUCC